AUGGAGUUUCACCAACACCCGAGAAGGCCCGUUGCCCUAUCAAGGAGUGUGGUCAUCACGGAGCAGAGCAGCAUACCCAGCCUGCUGCUCUUAGGUAAGCUCGUCUCUGAUGGCGGCCCGGACUCGGCCUCGCUCCAGGCCAAGCUUCGCCAAACUUGGUGUCCCUCGGGUAUGGUCAACUUCUGGCGAGUCACAGACGGUGCCUUGCUGAUCCAGUUCUACGAGGCGGAGGACCUGACCAGGGUGCUGGACGGAGCACCGUGGUCCUGCGACGGAGACAACCUCUUCCUCGUGCAGCACCUCAAGCCGGGAAUGAACAUGGUCGAUCAGAUCGCCGGGUUCACCAAGGCCGAGCUCUGGGUGCAGUUUCACCUCGUCCCCGAGGAUCACUGCAACCCCACCUCUGUCUAUGCGCUCGCCGCGCGCAUCGGCGAGCCGGUCAACUGCGAACUGAGAGCGAACCCCAUCGAGUUCCUCCGGGCGCGGAUCCGGGUGGACAUCACGCGGCCUCUUCAACAAUCGGUCGACGUCGAGCUGGAAAACGGCAAGGAUGCAUGGGUGUCCGUGGUGUAUGAGGGCAUCCCCAGCUUGUGCGGGUCCUGCAGGAUUCUGGGUCACCCGGCAGACCGCUGCCGCAGGGCAAACCAGCCUGCCGCUGCGGCGGCGUAUCGUUCCGAGAAGCCGCCCGUUUACGUUCCAAGCCGCCUAGGGUCAAGACGGUCCACGUCAAGAGCACCAUCAUCACCUCUCACGGACAAGAGUUCUCCUCGUCAAGAAGGGAAUGCACCUGUGUUGGAGACUGCCCUGGCACCUCCAGCACCAAGAUCAGGGCAAGGGCGACACUUCUCAGUAAAAGGCAGCUGUUCCAACUUCUUCGAGAUCAUCUGUCUCAAAACGUCGACAAAGGAAGUCGGAAAGAUAAAACCUAGCAGCACUGGGGAUAAUUUGCAAGACCAAGAUCAGGCACUACAGAUAAAUUCUGUACACGGAAGUGUUCAGAAAGGGAAGAUAGUAGGUAGUGCCACGACAAUUAUUUUACAGGAGCCUUCCAUCAUAGAAACAAAAGUGUCUCAUCUAGAUACCACCCUGAUCACAAACUCGCAUUUCACUGUAAAAGCACAAGGGUCAAGGUCAAGGAAGCAUGCAAGGAUCGAAGUGAUGUUGGAAACACAAUGCUCACCACAGUUAAUAAUGGGAUCCAUGCAAUGGUUAUCCCAAAAGGGAAAAGGUUUGUGUGCAGAAUAUGAUGGCAAGCGUGGCAUCAUCAGUAUAUUUGCAUUGCAAAUUGAUCAAAACACGGAUCCAGUUGAUCUAAUAAUAUAUCUGUUUCCCAAGUUCAGAACAAAUGCAGACACCAAUGGAAAACAUGAAAGUCCGGCAAGAUAUGCAGACACGAAGAUGUGUUUCCAUGACGAGAAUUGUUGUGAGGUGACCUUGAAGGAUUCUCAAAAAGAAAAAAAAGUUACCUUCAAUGGAACAAGAAAUGAUAGGGACCCUUCAAUCAUGGAAGCAGAAGGUACUCAACUAGAUAACACCCUGAUCACACAAUCACAUUUCAUUGUAAAAGCAAAAGGGUCAAGAUCUAUGAAACAUGCAAGAAUAGAUGUGAUGAUGAAAACACAAUGUUCACCAGAGUUGAUAAUGGGAGCAAUGGACUGGCUAUCCCAAAAAGCGGAAGGUUUGUGUGCAGAGUAUGAUGGACAGAAAGGUAUCAUUAGUAUCUUUGGAUUGCAAAUUGAUCAAAACACGGAUCCAGUUGAUCUAAUCGCAUGCCUAUUUCCCAAGAUCGGCCCAAAAACUGAACUUGCAGAGACCAACAAAAAACCUGAUAGCCCGGCAAGAUUUGCAGACACGAUGAUGCGUUUCCAUGAUGCAAACUGUUGCAAAGUAACUUUAAAGGAUUCUCAGAAACAAAAAAAGGUUACCUUCAAGGGAACAGGGAAGGAUGGUGUAUAA
rnacentral:rRNA from 1 species